UGGGGAAUCUUCCGCAAUGGACGAAAGUCUGACGGAGCAACGCCGCGUGAGUGAAGAAGGUUUUCGGAUCGUAAAAACUCUGUCUUUUGGGGCGAACGUGGGUAUGGUGAACAAUCAUAGUCAGUGACGGUACCAAAGGAGGAAGCCACGGCUAACUACGUGCCAGCAGCCGCGGUAAUCGUAGGUGGCAAGCGUUGUCCGGAAUUAUUGGGCGUAAAGAGCGCGUAGGCGGGAUAGUCAGUCUGUUGUAAAAGUGCGGGGCUCAACCCCGUGAUGGCAAUGGAAACAGCUAUUCUUGAGUGCAGGAGAGGAAAGUGGAAUUCCCAGUGUAGCGGUGAAAUGCGUAGAUAUUGGGAGGAACACCAGUGGCGAAGGCGACUUUCUGGACUGUGUCUGACGCUGAGGCGCGAAAGCCAGGGGAGCGAACGGGAUUAGAUACCCCCGGUAGUCCUGGCCGUAAAACGAUGGGUACUAGGUGUGGGAGGUAUCGACCCCCUUCCGUGCCGGAGUU
rnacentral:rRNA from 1 species